rnacentral:hammerhead_ribozyme from 1 species
AUCCAUCUGAUGAGUCCCAAAUAGGACGAAAGGCGUUUCAAAAUGGAA